AGACCCUUUUGUUAAAAUCACGGGAAUUAAGAAAGUGGAUAUUUGUAUUAAAGUUGUUUGUAAUCACUAUUGUUUUUACAAUUUUAUCCUUAAGAGAGAGAGUUAGUUUAUAUUUUCCAUAUGCUAUUUAUUGCUGAUUGAAGAAAAAUAUGUAUAAUAAAUAGGGGCAUGUAUGUAAAAAAAUAAUUAAUGUAGUUGGAAAUAACAAAGGGGUCUUAUAAAAAGG
rnacentral:lncRNA from 1 species